UACGUAGGCAGCGAGCGUUGUUCGGAAUUACUGGGCGUAAAGAGUGUGUAGGCGGUGCUCCCAGUCUGUUGUGAAAUCUCCCGGCUUAACUGGGAGGGUGCAGCGGAAACUAGAGUGCUAGAGGGUGGGAGAGGUAAGCGGAAUUCCUGGUGUAGCGGUGAAAUGCGUAGAUAUCGGGAGGAACACCGGUGGCGAAGGCGGUUCUCUGGGCCUUACCUGACGCUGAGGAGCGAUAGCGUGGGGAGCGAACAGG
rnacentral:rRNA from 1 species